UCUUUGAUCGAUGGAGUACAGUAUUGAU
rnacentral:sRNA from 1 species